rnacentral:rRNA from 1 species
UACGUAGGGUGCGAGCGUUAAUCGGAAUUACUGGGCGUAAAGCGUGCGCAGGCGGUUUUGUAAGCCAGAUGUGAAAUCCCCGGGCUUAACCUGGGAAUGGCAUUUGGGACUGCAAGGCUGGAGUGUGGCAGAGGAGACUGGAAUUCCUGGUGUAGCAGUGAAAUGCGUAGAUAUUGGGAGGAACACCAGUGGCGAAGGCGGCUCACUGGACCGGAACUGACGCUGAGGCGCGAAAGCGUGGGGAGCAAACGGG